rnacentral:misc_RNA from 1 species
GAUGAAGAACGUAGCGAAAUGCGAUAAGUAGUGUGAAUUGCAGAAUUCCGUGAAUCAUCGAAUCUUUGAACGCACAUUGCGCCCCCUGGUAUUCCGGGGGGCAUGCCUGUCCGAGCGUCAUUACAACCCUCAAGCUCAGCUUGGUGUUGGGCCCCGCCGCCCCGGCGGGCUCUAAAGUCAGUGGCGGUGCCGUCCGGCUCCGAGCGUAGUAAUUCUUCUCGCUCUGGAGGUCCGGUCGUGUGCUCGCCAGCAACCCCCAAUUUUUUUCAGGUUGACCUCGGAUCAGGUAGGGAUACCCGCUGAACUUAAGCAUAUCAAUAAGCGGAGGA